AAUGUUUGACACCGUUGACUUUUUAGCACAUGUUUGACCGUUCGUCUUAUUCAAAAAAUUUAAGUAAUUAUUAAUUCUUUUUCUAUCAUUUGAUUCAUUGUUAAAUAUAUUUUUAUGUAGGCAUAUAAUUUUACAUAUUUCACAAAAGUUUUUGAAUAAGACGAAUGGUCAAACAUGUGCUAAAAAGUCAACGGCGUCAAACAUU
rfam:Oryza glaberrima chromosome 3 Oglab03_0107_8, whole genome shotgun sequence.